AGGGCAAAUGGCUUUGACCGUUUCCUGUCUGUGGUUGUAGCGGCCGGAUUGAAAUAGCCUGCGUUUUAUUUACAUGGAAAAUAAUAAACACGAAAUCUUGCACAGAAGAAGCCGUUGUGAACUUCAUAAGUGUAUGAUACUAAUAACGCGUCAGCCAGGUCAUUCCUGGGUCACACACGCAGCUCUAAGCUGAGCUCCUAUAACAAGUACUAAGCUCAACAUACGUUAAUACACAUGUAAAGAAAUAGCAUGCUUUAGAUACACUGCAAAAAAUUUAAAACUGAAUUUGAGGAGAAAAUUAUUUAACACUAGUGAAAUUAUCUUUCUGCAUGGACAGAUAUUUUUACUUGUAUGGCGGCGAGGAUGACGUAUGAUUCUACGCGGAAGGCAGCGUCUUUAAUGGUCCGGAAUAAAUUGGAUUAAUUUGCUUCUCUACGCCCUUUUUGAGGAAUGUAUUGUCGGACUUAAAUCAACAUCUGAAGAGUGCUCUGUAAGGCUUUUUCCUGGUGAUAUUCGUUACACUUCUACCC